CUAUGGCGAUCUAUGUAGUACGCAAUACUGCUUGAAAGUGAUCACGUCGAUAAAUUUCGCUUUUCUCGAGCGACAGAGAUAAGAUCAUAAGGCUUAUGAAACUGUUAGAUUCGACCAAGAACUUUUCCAUAUCAACUAUCAUGCCGUAUUUCGGUUACUGAAAAUCAACAUUAGUCUUCCUGGUAAUCGCCAUUUAAACGGAGCAACGAUCUUGAUGUCAGUCGUAGAAAGACCCGAUGGUGUACGAAGGGGACUGCGUUGAAUGACCAUUGCCUUUUGGUUUGCUCUAAGCAUUUGAGUGAGCGGAGUCCCUCUCCUGUGGAGCGGGUUAGACCGUUACUACGUCUAUCAAUGCGAUGAUCUUCUUUCCUUAUAGCUUUAGCCAGCAGCGAAGACAUACUGAGAGACCGACAGAUAGAGAAGCCCACGAACUGAUAUUAGCAAAGCACUGUGCAAAUUAUGCCGCGUCACUACAUAUGGACGUAUCGGACUGGAUUAGCGUCUUUCGAACGAUGACGGAGGAUCUACCCAGAAUCGGAUCCUUGGCGAGUCUAGAUCCAAACAAGGCUUUCCCUUUUCGUGUAUCGAAUAGUACUACAUAUGAGAUGCAGGACGUGACUUUUGAUCAUUGCAAAGCCUAAACAUAUUAGUCUACAAACAAUAACGAACGUCUGACUGCAGACUUGCAAUGAAUCAGAUAGAAGACACAGCUUUGAAAUUACGAUCCAGUUAAAUCUAUGGCGGAAAACUGACACAGUUAAGCCUAUCGAUCUUACGUCUCACGCAUCCGUAGGCGGGCUCAUCCUACUUGGUAGCUUGGUUGUCUUUGUUGUUGGCUGGGCUGUCCUGGCCGUGGCCAUCUAUUGUUGGCGCGGCCGGAAAGCACCGGUAAUCUUUCCUCAUGGUCCCGACGCUAGGAAUUCGAUCGUCUGUGUGAAAUUAGAAGAGCACGAGAGCCAUGAUCCGAAGAAAGUUAAGCUUCAGCAUGUCAAUAAAAAGACAAACAUCUCAGACUGCUCAAUGAUUGGGAUUGACAAAUCAAUAGCAAGUUCAUCCCGAUACUUAACACCCUCGUCGUGUAAGCGCGCUCCAACAACAUCUUCGAGAAGAGAUAUGAAUCGGGAAGAUUUCGAGGAACCUUUGUGACGUCCGAAACCGACACGGCAGAUAAACAUCAGGAUCAUCGUUAUUAGACCUAACAGCAGCCAAGAUAAGGGAACAGGCUGGCAUUAUAGGGAAAUCGGAACGGCUUCAACUGUCUCAAUUACUGCAUACCAUUAGGUGCUAUACAUAUAGCUAAUUUGCUAUAAUGUAAUUUUUAUUCUAUGCAUAUUGUUUAUUUUUCUUUCGCUUAAUCAGAGCGGACAUCAUAACGAUAAUCAUUUUGCCUAGGCAAGUUAGACUUCAUAAUGGUUGUGUCAGUAAGUUUAAAUUAUUGAGGUCGGUGAAAAUGAAUUUGUAUUAUGUCUAACGGGGCUAUAUUGCAGCAUAUGUUAUGAUCAUUCUAAUGUUCUAUGAUGCAGGUACAAUCAAAUACAACGGAUAGAAAAAAAAAUCGUUGUUUUUGCCCAAAAAUGAGCAUCAUGUUUCCAUAAUCUACGGCACUCU